rnacentral:rRNA from 1 species
GUGAGGAAUUUUGCGCAAUGGGGGCAACCCUGACGCAGCGACGCCGCGUGGAGGACGAAGUCUUUCGGGAUGUAAACUCCUGUCAGUGGGGACGAUAAUGACGGUACCCACAGAGGAAGCACCGGCUAACUCCGUGCCAGCAGCCGCGGUAAGACGGAGGGUGCAAGCGUUGUUCGGAAUUACUGGGCGUAAAGCGUAUGUAGGCGGCAAGUUAAGUUCAAUGUUAAAGCCCACGGCUCAACCGAGGAGAUGCAUUGAAUACUGGCUAGCUAGAGGGUGUUAGAGGAAGACGGAAUUCCCAGUGUAGCGGUGAAAUGCGUAGAUAUUGGGAGGAACAUCGGUAGCGAAAGCGGUCUUCUGGGACAUACCUGACGCUGUGGUACGAAAGCGUGGGGAGCAAACGGGAUUAGAUACCCUUGUAGUCC